rnacentral:sRNA from 1 species
CUGUCCUGCCAGGUCCGGGUCGGCGGCUGCACGGCGGAUGAGACCGGUGCGACUCAUGAAGGUGUUCGUCACCCGCAGGAUACCCGCCGAGGGCAGGGUCGCGCUCGCCCGGGCGGCAGACUGUGAGGUGGAGCAGUGGGACUCGGAUGAGCCCAUCCCCGCCAAGGAGCUAGAGCGAGGUGUGGCGGGGGCCCACGGCCUGCUCUGCCUCCUCUCCGACUGCGUGGACAAGAGGAUCCUGGAUGCCGCAGGGGCCAAUCUCAAAGUCAUCAGCACCAUGUCUGCGGGCUUCGACCACUUGGCUUUGGAUGAAAUCAAGAAGCGUGGGAUCCGAGUUGGCUACACCCCAGAUGUCCUGACAGAUACCACCGCCGAACUCGCAGUCUCCCUGCUACUUACCACCUGCCGUCGGUUGCCAGAGGCCAUCGAGGAAGUGAAGAAUGGUGGCUGGACCUCGUGGAAGCCCCUCUGGCUGUGUGGCUAUGGACUCACGCAGAGCACUGUCGGCAUCAUCGGGCUGGGGCGCAUAGGCCAGGCCAUUGCUCGGCGUCUGAAACCAUUUGGUGUCCAGAGAUUUCUGUACACAGGGCGCCAGCCCAGGCCUGAGGAAGCAGCGGAAUUCCAGGCAGAGUUUGUGUCUACCCCUGAGCUGGCUGCCCAGUCUGAUUUCAUCGUCGUGGCCUGCUCCUUAACGCCUGCAACUGAGGGACUCUGCAACAAGGACUUCUUCCAGAAGAUGAAGGAAACAGCUGUGUUCAUCAACAUCAGCAGGUAUCCUAGGGCCACCUUACCCAGCAAGCCUGGAGAGGAGCCGUCCCCACUGCUGCCAUCUGGAGAUUUUCUUCCCUGUGGGUUGUUGAUGAGACCCCAGGCUGAGCUUGCUGGUUUCCAUAAACCAGACAACCAACUCAGAAAUUCGUGGGAAUACACGAGAGCUUCGCACAGGGAAGAAGAGCCAUUGGAGUGGGCCUGGCCUGUCUGCUUCUCAGCAGUGGCCCCCGCCCGGCAGGGCCUGGCACACAGCAGUGUGGCUUCAGGGAGUGUUCCCAGGGAGCCUCGGCAGGCCCAUUGUCCUCCACCACAAAGGGCUGGACUUCGGGAUCUGAAGGGCCCUCUGGAGGCCGCCUCCCACACUGCUGAGCCUGGCUUUGGCUGGCUGUGGUUCAGUGAUACUUUGAACAUUAUGCUCCUGGGCAGACAGACCCUAAAACUCACGUGGUUGUAGCUCCUCAUACUGUCCCUAGGGGUGCCUUCAGGCCACUGGGCAUGUAUGGGGGUCAGACCUUCCUUCUCUGCCACUCCAAGCCCUUCCUAGCUGGUGCCCCUUAAGCCAGUUUACAUCAGUUUAGGGGAAGGGGGAUUGGGUGAGGUCAUCCCGAGGACUCAUCCACCCCAAAAGUACCUGUAAUUACCAACGUUUAGCUACAAAACAGGUGACCUGGGAAUGGAAGAGUGAAACAUGCAGGACCACAGGGCUCGCACUGCUGGCUGGCAGCAGUCACAGCUGCCGUGUACUGGGUGCCUGCGUGUACCCAGGACAGCCCAGGACCCUGUAUUACUCAUUAAUGCACAAGUAUUACUUAGUGCACAAUAUACAGUCUCUAGAAGAUGACUUCUUGCCUUCAGUCGUCGCUCCCUUUGAUGGAUGUGGUUAGGGGUGUGCUCAUUCCUCUGCCCUGGUUUAGACAGGUACCUGAUAGCACACUGUGGUGCUUCUCAUUGGGGGUCUGGGGGUCAACCAGAUCAGAAACACUUGGAUGGGGCCUAACACAGAUGCCCUUCUGGGCCCUGUUCAUGCAGUAGAGCAUGUAAGAAAGCUUUAAUCCUCCCAACAUGCCUGGGAG